ACGUAGGUGGCAAGCGUUAUCCGGAAUCACUGGGCGUAAAGGGCGUGUAGGCGGGAAGACAAGUCGGGGGUGACAUCCCACUUCUUCCCCCUGGAGCUGCUUCCGAAACUGUCAUUCUUGAGUGUCGGUGAGGAAAGUGGAAUUCCCAGUGUAGCGGUGAAAUGCGUAGAGAUUGGGCGGAACACCAGUGGCGAAGGCAACUUUCUGGACGGUAACUGACGCUGAGGCGCGAAAGCGUGGGGAGCAAACAG
rnacentral:rRNA from 1 species